rnacentral:rRNA from 1 species
AGUGAACGCUGGCGGCGUGCUUAACACAUGCAAGUCGAACGAGAACGGAUUAUAGCUUGCUAUAAUUGUCAGCUAAGUGGCGCACGGGUGAGUAAUGUAUAGAUAACCUGCCCUCUAGAAAGGAAUAACAGAUGGAAACGUCUGCUAAUGCCCUAUAUGCCUUUAAUACAUAAGUAUGCAAGGGAAACGCUUUAGUGCUAGAGGAUGGGUCUGUAUGGUAUCAGCUUGUUGGUGAGGUAAUGGCUCACCAAGGCAAUGACGCCUAACUGGUUUGAGAGGAUGAUCAGUCACACUGGAACUGAGACACGGUCCAGACUCCUACGGGAGGCAGCAGUGGGGAAUAUUGCACAAUGGACGAAAGUCUGAUGCAGCAACGCCGCGUGGAGGAUGACACAUUUCGGUGCGUAAACUCCUUUUAUAUAGGAAGAUAAUGACGGUACUAUAUGAAUAAGCACCGGCUAACUCCGUG